CCUACGGGUGGCAGCAGUGGGGGAUAUUGCACAAUGGGGGGAACCCUGAUGCAUCGACGCCGCGUGGGUGAAGGAGCGCCUCGGCGCGUAAAGCCCUGUCAGCAGGGAAGAAAAUGACGGUACCUGAAGAAGAAGCCCCGGCUAACUACGUGCCAGCAGCCGCGGUAAUACUGAGGGGGAAAGCGUUAGCCGGAUUUACUGGGUGUAAAGGGGGCGCAGACGGCGAUGCAAGCCAGGAGUGAAAGCCCGGGGCCCAACCCCGGGACUGCUCUUGGAACUGCGUGGCUAGAGUGCAGGAGGGGCAGGCGGAAUUCGUGGUGUAGCGGUGAAAUGCGUAGAUAUCAGGAGGAACACCGGUGGCGAAGGCGGCCUGCUGGACUGCAACUGACGUUGAGGCCCGAAAGCGUGGGGAGCAAACAGGAUUAGAUACCCCAGUAGUC
rnacentral:rRNA from 1 species